GGUAAGGCUAAUGUUGUUGCUGAUGCAUUGAGUCGUAGGAGCCAUGCUAAUGCAAUUAAUACUGAUAAUAUGCCACGCGAGUUAUGUGAACAAUUUAGGAAUCUCAGGUUGGAGAUGGUUCCUAAGGGAUAUUUGGCAACACUUGAGGUAAAGCCUACUUUGCUUGACAGGAUUAGAGAAGCUCAAAAGGGUGAUAAGGAGAUUGCUGAGAUAAAAGAGAAUAUGGUUAAAGGUAAGGCAGAAGGUUUCCAUGAGGAUGAACAUGGGGCCAUAUGGUUUGAGAAGCGUAUUUGUGUACCUCAGGAUGCUGACAUCAGGAAGUUGAUUCUUCAGGAGGCGCAUGAUUCACCUUAUUCUAUUCACCCAGGUAAUACUAAGAUGUAUUUGGAUUUGAGGGAAAGAUUU
rnacentral:rRNA from 1 species